CUUCUAUCCAUUUUCCUCACCUUCUCCCUCUCUCUCCCUCUCCCUCUCCCUCUCACCGUCAACUAUAGCAAGCAGCAGCUAUGGAGGUCGCAACCACCGCCUCGAGCUUCGCGCUCAACACUUACGCCCGGAUGUUCACAACAUGCGCCACUCAUUCCAGAACUCUGAAACCUACACUCACCCAGGCCAUGGCUACGUCCUCUUCAUCUCACUCCACCAAUGUCGUCGCUCCGUUUGCUGCCGGAAGUCUCUUCUCCGGCUUCUCCGGUCCCAUAUUCCGACCAUCCUCUCUUAAUCCGGAGAUUUCGCGCAGCUCCAAACCUAAACGAGGUGUCGUAACCAUGGUUAUUCCAUUUUCAAGGGGAAGUGCAUGGGAGCAACCUCCGCCUGACUUAGCAUCUUACUUGUUCAAAAACCGCAUUGUUUACCUGGGCAUGUCACUUGUUCCUUCUGUCACAGAGUUGAUAUUAGCAGAGUUUUUAUACCUUCAGUAUGAAGAUGAGCAGAAGCCUAUUUAUCUAUAUAUAAAUUCCACUGGAACAACCAAGGAUGGAGAGAAGCUGGGUUAUGAAACUGAAGCUUUCGCUAUUUAUGAUGUUAUGAGUUAUGUUAAACCCCCCAUUUUUACUCUCUGUGUUGGUAAUGCUUGGGGGGAAGCAGCCUUACUUUUGGCUGCUGGUGCAACAGGAAACCGCUCUGCUCUGCCCUCAUCAACAAUUAUGAUCAAGCAGCCAAUUGCCAGGUUUCAAGGCCAAGCAACAGAUAUUGAACUUGCAAGAAAGGAAGUGAAAAACGUGAAAGCAGAGUUGGUUAACCUCCUUGCUAAGCAUGUUGGAAAAUCACCUGAGGAAGUUGAAGCUGACAUCAGGCGUCCAAAAUAUUUUAGUCCCAGUGAAGCAGUUGAAUAUGGAAUAAUAGAUAAGGUACUGUACAAUGAAAGGAGUACUGAGGACCGGGGAGUUGUCUCUGACUUGAAAAAAGCACAACUUAUUUGACUGUAGGAAGCCUUUGAAUGAUUAAUCUAGGAUCUUUCAGGAGCACUAAUAAGGGAAUUGGAGGUCCUAAAUAUAAUCAAAGAUUAGUUCUCAACCUGCAAUUGGCAUGAAGUGGUCUAUAAAAUUGCAAACCAUGCGAUGAACAAGCUGCUCGAGUUCCGGAGCUAAAAAUUGUACCAAGUAGCAACACUAGCGAAUAUUCACGAUCCAGCAAAGAAGAGGAUCCCAUAAGCAUCAACCCGAACUUUUGCAAGCUCAAAAUUUUGUUGAUUGUGUAUCGUUCUGAUUAUAUCCUUGUUAUUGUUAAACUAGAUUUUCAUUCAAUUUACCCAAGUGAAAAAUGGUGAGGUAUUGUAUGUUCUAAUCAUUUGUUAUUCUUGUC